rnacentral:ncRNA from 2 species
UUUCGAUCGUCAUCAGUCAAUCGCUAGGUGAGUCGGAUAGGGAAAGAGGGUGCGAGUCCCUCGCGGAGCCGCCACUGUGAUCGAACCGUUGGGGUUCGACAGCCAGAUCGCCUAUCCACUCCAUGUUCCACCA